UGGGGAAUCUUGCACAAUGGGGGAAACCCUGAUGCAGCGACGCCGCGUGAGUGAUGAAGCCCUUCGGGGUGUAAAGCUCUUUCGGCAGGAACGAUAAUGACGGUACCUGCAGAAGAAGUCGCGGCUAACUACGUGCCAGCAGCCGCGGUAAUACGUAGGCAGCAAGCGUUGUUCGGAGUUACUGGGCGUAAAGAGUGUGUAGGCGGUCAGCUAAGUUCGGUGUGAAAUCUCCCGGCUCAACUGGGAGGGUGCGCCGAAGACUGGCAGGCUUGAGUGCGGGAGAGGAAAGCGGAAUUCCUGGUGUAGCGGUGAAAUGCGUAGAUAUCAGGAGGAACACCUGCGGUGUAGACGGCUUUCUGGACCGCAACUGACGCUGAGGCGCGAAAGCUAGGGGAGCAA
rnacentral:rRNA from 1 species